rnacentral:rRNA from 1 species
UGUGUAGGCGGCCGUUCAAGUUUGGUGUGAAAUCUCCCGGCUCAACUGGGAGGGUGCGCCGAAUACUGAAUGGCUAGAGUGCGGGAGAGGAGAGUGGAAUUCCUGGUGUAGCGGUGAAAUGCGUAGAUAUCAGGAGGAACACCGGCGGUGUAGACGGCUCUCUGGACCGUAACUGACGCUGAGACACGAAAGCGUGGGUAGCAAACAGGAUUAGAUACCCUGGUAGUCCACGCCCUAAACGAUGCACAUUUGGUGUGGGUCAUUCAGUUGAUCCGUGCCGGAGCUAACGCGUUAAAUGUGCCGCCUGGGGAGUACAGUCGCAAGGCUGAA